rnacentral:rRNA from 1 species
ACCUACGGGGGGCAGCAGUGGGGAAUAUUGGGCAAUGGGCGCAAGCCUGACCCAGCAACGCCGCGUGAAGGAAGAAGGCUUUCGGGUUGUAAACUUCUUUUCUUGGGGACGAAGAAAGUGACGGUACCCAAGGAAUAAGCCACGGCUAACUACGUGCCAGCAGCCGCGGUAAUAUGUAGGGGGCAAGCGUUAUCCGGAUUACUGGGUGUAAAGGGAGCGUAGACGGCAUAGCAAGUCUGAUGUGAAAGAUCGGGGCUCAACCCCGGGCCUGCAUUGGAAACUGUUAAGCUGGAGUACAGGAGAGG